GGGAAUCUGCCCUUUGGUCUGGGAUAACUGUUGGAAACGACAGCUAAUACCGGAUGAUGACGUAAGUCCAAAGAUUUAUCGCCAGAGGAUGAGCCCGCGUCGGAUUAGCUAGUUGGUGGGGUAAAGGCCUACCAAGGCGACGAUCCGUAGCUGGUCUGAGAGGAUGAUCAGCCACACUGGGACUGAGACACGGCCCAGGCUCCUACGGGAGGCAGCAGUGGGGAAUAUUGGACAAUGGGCGAAAGCCUGAUCCAGCAAUGCCGCGUGAGUGAUGAAGGCCUUAGGGUUGUAAAGCUCUUUUACCCGGGAUGAUAAUGACAGUACCGGGAGAAUAAGCUCCGGCUAACUCCGUGCCAGCAGCCGCGGUAAUACGGAGGGAGCUAGCGUUGUUCGGAAUUACUGGGCGUAAAGCGCACGUAGGCGGCUUUGUAAGUUAGAGGUGAAAGCCUGGAGCUCAACUCCAGAACUGCCUUUGAUACUGCAUGGCUUGAAUCCAGGAGAGGUGAGUGGAAUUCCGAGU
rnacentral:rRNA from 1 species